rnacentral:rRNA from 1 species
UAGGGAAUCUUCCACAAUGGACGCAAGUCUGAUGGAGCAACGCCGCGUGAGUGAAGAAGGUCUUCGGAUCGUAAAGCUCUGUUGUUGGUGAAGAAGGAUAGAGGCAGUAACUGGUCUUUAUUUGACGGUAAUCAACCAGAAAGUCACGGCUAACUACGUGCCAGCAGCCGCGGUAAUACGUAGGUGGCAAGCGUUGUCCGGAUUUAUUGGGCGUAAAGCGAGCGCAGGCGGAAUGAUAAGUCUGAUGUGAAAGCCCACGGCUCAACCGUGGAACUGCAUCGGAAACUGUCAUUCUUGAGUGCAGAAGAGGAGAGUGGAACUCCAUGUGUAGCGGUGGAAUGCGUAGAUAUAUGGAAGAACACCAGUGGCGAAGGCGGCUCUCUGGUCUGCAACUGACGCUGAGGCUCGAAAGCAUGGGUAGCGAACAGGAUUAGAUACCCUGGUAGUCCAUGCCGUAAACGAUGAGCGCUAGGUGUUGGGGACUUUCCGGUCCUCAGUGCCGCAGCAAACGCAUUAAGCGCUCCGCCUGGGGAGUACGACCGCAAGGUUGAAACUCU